rnacentral:rRNA from 1 species
GAUCAUGGCUCAGGAUAAACGCUGGCGGCGCACAUAAGACAUGCAAGUCGAACGGAAGUCGUUAUAUAUGGAGUGAAGAUUUAUCUGAAUGAAAUUUGUAACAACCUGGCUUUAGUGGCGGACUGGUGAGUAACGCGUAAGGAACCUACCUUUUAGAGGGGAAUAACAAUGAGAAAUCAUUGCUAAUACCGCAUAUGCCAUAGCUAUUGCAUGAUAGCAGUGGGAAAGGAG